UAAACUAUGUAAGUGCAUAAUCUCUCUGGGAGAACCAUCCAGAAAAAGCCACGUGAAUACACAUAACCCACAUCCACACCACCUCUACAUCCACAGCUGAGACGGUCCAGUGAACUGCCUCCCCUCCUUGGCGGCAAGCAAACAAACAAAUAAAAAGGAUGGAACCAUUUGGGUUAGGAAAGAAGCAAAGCACAUAGGUAAUGAAGGAGAGAAGGGGGCAGGGAGCACUCUCUCCCUCUCCAUUAGCAAGGACCACAGGGACAGCUAAACGCUAAAAGGCAGUACUUUUUCCCUCCAACAGUGUAAAAUGCACAGGCGCAGGCCACAAAUCACUCAGGGAAAUUCAGAAGAAUAUCAGCCAUUUCUAGGAAUGAAAAUAAAAAUAAAUAAUCAUCACCUUUUCUAUAGCUUUAACCCAGUCUCUUUCUCCAUGGGAUCUUUCUCCACAUUUCUCUAACAUCUUAUCCUGGGAGUAUGGAGGGAGGAGAACUUCUCAAUUUAUUUUUUAUUAAAGUUCCUUUAUUAGAGAUCUUUUUACACUGCUGCCAUUUGGCCAUUUACAUUCCCACUCUUGUUCCUCUUAAGAAUGGACAGGGUAGCUCAGUGGAAUGAGGGCUAGAUAUUGGGGGGGGGUGACCUUGGCAAGAACCUGACAUGCUUUUGAGUUCAGCCUUCUCAUCUAUAACAUGAGAAAGGUAGAGCGGAAGACCAAGGUCCUUCCUACUUUUGAAUCUUCAUGUAGUAUCCUCAAAUAGGUGAAGAAAGCGUAUUGUAGUGGCAGCUCUCUCACCGCUGUCCGUACUCUUAGUUCUGAUUCAUUGUUGGAACGAAAUGAGGCACUUGCAAGUCACUGAACAUCUAAGAGAAAAAGGUUUACUUUUCUCUAAUAUAGUUCAAAUAUGCAGCAAGGAUGCAGUAGCAUGUAGCAUCUUUGCAUUCAGUGUGGGUAUUCCCCCCUCCCUAUCUCCAUCUCAUGUUAUAAUAGAAAGAUCACUUGGUUUGGAAUCAGAGGAGCUCCAGUCAAAAUUCAGUGAGCCAUUGUUAAUAAUAAAGAUUUUCAUAAGAGAGCGAGAAGGGGGGGUUGGGAGAGUUCAGCAAAAUGGAUUCACAUUUACUAGCUCAAUGUUCCUAGACAAAUAAUGCCAUGCCUCAUCUAUAACACGAAGGAUUAGAUAAGAUGAUCGUUGUGUUUGGGGGAGAUGGCCAAGGUGGGAGUUUUUGCUUGAAAAUGCACAUUUGUCCCAAGGGUUUUGUUUUUUCCUUUAUUAUCUGCAGGUGGGGAAGGAAGAGAGAAGGGAAAGAAAGAAAACAGAUGAAUAUUAAUUGAAAAAAUAAAACUGAAUUUAAAAUCA
rnacentral:lncRNA from 1 species